AUGGUUAUUUAAAAAUGAAUAAACCCAGAAAAAAAACUAACUCAAUGGCUGCAGUAUUCCUGACUGUAUUAAGGUAGCACAAUCAAUCGCCGUUUAAUUGACGGAUAGUAUGAAUGGUAAAACGAAGAUUUCACUGUCUCAAAUGAAAAUCUAAAAAAAAUUAAAGUAAUAGUUAAGAUGCUAUUUACAAUCGUAAGACGAUAAGACCCUAUAAAGCUUAACUACAUUUUUCUAUUAAAAAUGGGAAGAAGGUAGUUUACUUGGGGCAAGGACUUUUUAAAAAAAAAGAAAGUAAGCAAAAAAAAAUAAAACAUUUAUUGUAUAAAUUAUAAUUUUAACAAUCACGAAGUGGGCUAUAGUGACCCGUUAAUACUAAAAAAAAAGAUUAACGAUUAUUAAAUAAAAGCUACUUUAGGGAUAACAGGAUAAUUUCAUUAAAGAGUUGAUAUCGCUGAUGAAGUUUGUCACCUCGAUGUUGAAUUAAGAUAACCUGGCUGAGCAAAAACCGCCUAAGGUAGGUCUGUUCGACCUUUAAAUAUCUUACAUGAUUUGAGUUCAUUCGUA
rnacentral:rRNA from 1 species